CCUACGGGAGGCAGCAGUGGGGAAUCUUGCACAAUGGGCGAAAGCCUGAUGCAGCAACGCCGCGUGCGGGAAGAAGGCCCUAGGGUUGUAAACCGCUUUCAGUAGGGAAGAAAAUGACGGUACCUACAGAAGAAGGUGCGGCCAACUACGUGCCAGCAGCCGCGGUGACACGUAGGCACCAAGCGUUAUCCGGAUUUAUUGGGCGUAAAGAGCUCGUAGGCGGUUCGGUAAGUCGGGUGUGAAAACUCUGGGCUCAACCCCAGAGAGGCCACCCGAUACUGCUGUGACUAGAGUGCGGUAGGGGAGCGGGGAAUUCCUGGUGUAGCGGUGAAAUGCGCAGAUAUCAGGAGGAACACCAGCGGCGAAGGCGCCGCUCUGGGCCGUAACUGACGCUGAGGAGCGAAAGCAUGGGGUAGCAAACAGGAUUAGAUACCCUGGUAGUCCAUGCCGUAAACGUUGGUCGACUAGGUGUGGGUCGUCAACCACGAGAUCGCGCCGUCGCUAACGCAUAAGUGCCCGCCUGGGAGCGGUCGCAGACAAACUUAAAGGAAGUUAGUAACGGCGUGUUGAGUGUUCGACGGACGACGACGAGGGAGGAGG
rnacentral:rRNA from 1 species